rnacentral:rRNA from 1 species
GACGAACGCUGGCGGCCUGCUUAACACAUGCAAGUCGAACGGAAAGGCCCCUUCGGGGGUACUCGAGUGGCGAACGGGUGAGUAACACGUGAGUAACCUGCCCUUGACUUCGGGAUAACUUCAGGAAACUGGGGCUAAUACCGGAUAGGAAUCCUUGCUGCAUGGUGGGGGUUGGAAAGCUUCGGCGGUUUUGGAUGGACUCGCGGCUUAUCAGCUUGUUGGUGGGGUAGUGGCUUACCAAGGCUUUGACGGGUAGCCGGCCUGAGAGGGCGACCGGCCACAUUGGGACUGAGAUACGGCCCAGACUCCUACGGGAGGCAGCAGUGGGGAAUAUUGCACAAUGGGCGGAAGCCUGAUGCAGCAACGCCGCGUGCGGGAUGACGGCCUUCGGGUUGUAAACCGCUUUCAGCAGGGGCGAAGCUUGUGGUGACGGUACCUGCAGAAGAAGCACCGGCUAACUACGUG